ensembl:lncRNA
CUGUGCAUCUCCUAAGCUUUUCCAUGACCCUGCAUCUUCUUGUUUGUUCUCAGAUGGGGCAGAUACACUGAAAAGGAAAUGCACAUGGUGCAAAGAAUUCAAGAAAUCACAUGGUUAUCUGGUUGUAUAAAAAACCCUUGUAACUAAAUAAUACCACUAAACUUUAGUUUCACUUUCUCUCUGUGUCCAAUGCAGUUAUUUGUUGGUGUAGACUGGUUGCUAUGUUCUGUUAAAGAAGGUGCAGCACAGUCUCUGACUUUCACGUUUGACUCCACACCAGAGGAAGUAUCUACACUGCACUUUUUAGGACAUGAACACUUUCAUCCCAGACAUGGCCAGCAAGCUUGGAGCAGCAAGCCUGCGCUGCAAGGACCUGCAAGGAGGAGAGGAGGAUGGUAGUAAAAAGGAAGAACCUGGAUAUAAGAAAGUAUUUUUCAAAGAAACCUGUAAGUCACUUAAAGACAAGUUAACUCAUAAAAUUGUGUCCGUCACAAUAACGUUACAGGCUAUGCUAGGCUUUGGCCCACAUCAGUCUAAAAUUGUAUGUAACCAUGAAUAACGUGUUUUGGAAACUAACUGCACAACAGGCAGCACUAUUAGUUAUCUCAGUCCCAGAGUAGCAUUUCACAGGUGACUGACUGAUGAUUUGGUGCUAUAGAUUAACUAGUAUUUGUUAUCAUGACAAUUGUUAGGCUGCUGAUGUAAAUUGAUUCAUUAGUGUAUAUUUGACAAAGAAUGUGAAUCGACAUGUCUCACUUUUUAUAUGGCACGAAUCAAUGUGUUAUUUUAUCAGGUAGCAAUAUGUCCUAGUGCAGUCAGAGGGGAAGAACCAGGGCCAAAGGUGAGGCACAUCAAGCACAGAAUAAUCAUUUUAAUCUGAGGAUAAAACACAUGUACUGAGGCUGAAAGAAGCUUCAGUGCUCUCAGAAGACUAAAAAGAUGGCUAAGGUCAACAAUGACUCAAAUGAGAUUAAACAAUGUUGCUGUAUGCCAUGUCCACCAGGAGAGACUGGACAGUAUAGAUGUAAAACAAAUAUGCCAGCAGUUUAUCUCAGUUAACGAGAGGAGAAGGCAUGUGUUUGGCUCCCUCACAUAGUGGACAUUGAGUUGUUGUGUGGGGCACCAGUAGUCCAUAUCUGUUGCUGUAACAGUAGUUCAUGUUUAGAAUAAAAAAUCACAGCUCACUGAUUUGAUCCGGGCAACAGUGUGCCUAAAAUGUUGCAUAAUUUUGCUGACAGAUCUUUUGUGGUAAUCUUAGCUGAGUAGUUCUAUGGACAAAAAACACCAGGUCAUUCAGUGUUCCCUUAGUGCAAAUGUGUAAGAGAUGUUGGUGUACUAUAACUGAAGUAAUGUUGUUAAGUCCUUAAAGUCAUAUUCUUUUAUUGUCAUGACUGUAUUUGAAGCUAUUUUUAUUUUUGUAUGAUACCUGAUUUAUAUGGAAUAUGGCUGAAGUAAACUAAAGUCUAAAAUACUUCAGUCAAUCAUUUGUUUAAUAGUAAUUUAACAUUAUGUAAUUCAUAUAUAAAACUAUAAAUUGUAAUUUUAAAUGGUUUAAAGGUACGUAGAAUAGCAUAUGUAGGCAAGUAUAUUUCUCCUCUUUUUUUUUUUUUCUCAAGAAGCAAAGACAAAAAGGGGUAAAAAAAGAAACAGGGCAGGGUUUGGUGGUUGAAUCAUCCGUCCCCACCAAUGCCAAAAACAAAUCUACACCCUUGGUUGUAACACAUCUUUUUGGGGUACUUUUUAAAAACAAGCAAAUUUUUUGAAUCUAGAAAAAUCUAUCCCAAAACUUGGUUAAUGUUCAGAAGAAAAGAUUUAUGCAUUUACAACCUGAUGUAGAUCCCAAUUCAUUGUUUCUGAGCUUUCUAUACAGAUUCUGGCAGGAGAACUGGAAACAGUUCAGUCAUAGACAGUGGCAUGUCUAUGACUGAAGAGUGUUCAAAAGGCAAAGUUGUUUGAUACCAGGUUUGAUAAGGAGAGAAUUACUAAAAA